rnacentral:rRNA from 1 species
UACGUAGGGUGCGAGCGUUAAUCGGAAUUACUGGGCGUAAAGCGUGCGCAGGCGGUUAUUUAAGUCAGGUGUGAAAGCCCUGGGCUUAACCUAGGAAUUGCGCUUGAGACUGGAUAGCUUGGAGUGCGGCAGAGGGAGGUGGAAUUCCACGUGUAGCAGUGAAAUGCGUAGAGAUGUGGAGGAACACCGAUGGCGAAGGCAGCCUCCUGGGCCAGCACUGACGCUCAUGCACGAAAGCGUGGGGAGCAAACAGGAUUAGAACUACCGGUAGU